GAUGAACGCUGGCGGCGUGCCUAAUACAUGCAAGUCGAGCGAACGGACGAGAAGCUUGCUUCUCUGAUGUUAGCGGCGGACGGGUGAGUAACACGUGGAUAACCUACCUAUAAGACUGGGAUAACUUCGGGAAACCGUAGCUAAUACCGGAUAAUAUUUUGAACCGCAUGGUUCAAAAGUGAAAGACGGCCUUGCUGUCACUUAUAGAUGGAUCCGCGCUGCAUUAGCUAGUUGGUAAGGUAACGGCUUACCAAGGCAACGAUGCAUAGCCGACCUGAGAGGGUGAUCGGCCACACUGGAACUGAGACACGGUCCAGACUCCUACGGGAGGCAGCAGUAGGGAAUCUUCCGCAAUGGGCGAAAGCCUGACGGAGCAACGCCGCGUGAGUGAUGAAGGUCUUCGGAUCGUAAAACUCUGUUAUUAGGGAAGAACAUAUGUGUAAGUAACUGUGCACAUCUUGACGGUACCUAAUCAGAAAGCCACGGCUGACUACGUG
rnacentral:rRNA from 1 species